UACGGGGGGGGGCAAGCGUUGUUCGGAAUUACUGGGCGUAAAGGGCUCGUAGGCGGCCAACUAAGUCAGACGUGAAAUCCCCAGGCUCAACCUGGGAACUGCGUCUGAUACUGGAUGGCUUGAAUCCGGGAGAGGGAUGCAGAAUUCCAGGUGUAGCGGUGAAAUGCGUAGAUAUCUGGAGGAAUACCGGUGGCGAAGGCGGCAUCCUGGACCGGCAUUGACGCUGAGGAGCGAAAGCGUGGGGAGCAAACAGG
rnacentral:rRNA from 1 species